AUGUAAUGUAAUGCCUACAAUGUUAAUGCACUAGAUCCCAUUAGAACUCUGCACUUAAGCACACUUGGGCUAGAGUAGUAAUGGGAUGGGUGACCUCCUAGGAAGUCCUAAUGUUUUACAUG
rnacentral:rRNA from 1 species